AUAACUAUUUCUAUAAAUUAUAGCCAAUAAAUGUACAGUCAAAAGCUUGUUUAGUGUCAGCAAAAUUAAUGUAUUAAUUUCUCUUUAUGAGUCGACACUUUUUAUUCAAAUAUAUUGGUAUACAGAAUACAGGGAGUACCUUAACUACUGCCCUGUUGGCUGUGAUACCAAAGAAAAAGGAAAGAGCAAUUUAAAACUUUAUAUAACCUGCUUUAUCAAUCCUU
rnacentral:lncRNA from 1 species